UACAGAGGUGGCGAGCGUUAUUCGGAAUUAUUGGGCGUAAAGGGCGCGUAGGCGGCCACGCAAGUCUUGGGUGAAAUCCCUCGGCUCAACCGAGGAACUGCCUUGGAAACUGCAUGGCUCGAGGCCGGGAGAGGGUAGCGGAAUUCCCAGUGUAGCGGUGAAAUGCGUAGAUAUUGGGAGGAACACCGGUGGCGAAGGCGGCAUCCUGGACCGGCAUUGACGCUGAGGCGCGAAAGCCAGGGGAGCAAACGGG
rnacentral:rRNA from 1 species